rnacentral:misc_RNA from 1 species
AUGGAAGCGCCUCCAAACUUUCUGCCAAAAGAAAAUGACAAGCAUACAUAUUAAUACAAGCUUAAACUCAGAGAAUUUCAGUACUUCAUUAAUGCAGAGGCUCAUGUGGAAAAGGACAAUGUGUUUGGAUUGAAAAAUCUUAACGUUUAGAAUAAAGUCACUGAAUUGACAAAUAACGUUGAAGCAAAUUCCAUAUAUAACAGUGACACUGAGUAACCCCAAUUACCUCAAAUACACAGACACACAUUUGCAAAUUGGCAUCGUGAAAUUGAUAUAUCCAAAGAGGCGUAGACGGCUAUAAAUGGUUCAAUAAACAUUCAAUCUUUUCAAAUGAAGAACAAGUUAAAUUUCGUAGUCGAUCAAUCAAUUGGAAAAGCCAAUUAUAUAGAAGUACACUUAUAAAGGAAAUAAGUUACUCGACAGAUGAUGUUAGAACAACUACUGAUCACUCUUAAGGUCAAAUUCCACCAAAAUUUAAGUAAUCCAUGCACAAUAAAAUGUUAAUGAAAUUAUCUACUACAAAUUUCUUUCCCUAA